rnacentral:sRNA from 1 species
AUAUCUCUCCGUACGGGAAGGAUGAGAAGCUUCGACUAAGGUUCGAUUCGAGCGAAAGCGAGAAAGCGUUGCCGCAGGCAACGACCCGAAGGGCGAAGCGCGCAGCGCUGA